UUACUUUGGCAGAUUAGUGCUUUAGAUUUAGAAUUUAAAAAUGUAUAUUUAGUACAAGUAAUAA
rnacentral:tRNA from 1 species